rnacentral:lncRNA from 1 species
UCCACUUGCCUGCUAAAGACAAGAUUGGUGGCAACUCCUGCUCAGCACGAGGACAAGGAGAGCCAGCCUGAAACUGCUACCACUCUACGACAGGACAAGAGCGUACCAGAAUAUUAAGAGGAGAAACAUCAAGAUCCACGUGAUGACCCUGAGCUCAUUCGGUAAGAUGGUGACAUCAAAAGUACAGAUUCAUCUCUCAUCUUGCAUAGU